rnacentral:rRNA from 1 species
CCUACGGGUGGCAGCAGUGGGGAAUAUUGGGCAAUGGGGGGAACCCUGAUCCAGCGACGCCGCGUGAGUGAAGAAGUAUUUCGGAUUGUAAAGUGCUAUCAGCAGGGAAGAAAGAAAUGACUGUAUCUGACUAAGAAGCCGGGGCUAACUACGUGCGAGCAGCCGGUGUAAGACGUAGGGGGCAAGCGAUAUCCGGAUUUACGGGGUGUAAAGGGCGCGUAGACGGGAAUGCAAGUCUGAUGUGAAAGGCGGGGGCCCAACCGCCGAACUGCUUUGGAAACUGUCUGGCUGGAGUGCAGGAGAGGUAAGUGGAAUUCCUAGUGUAGCGGUGAAAUGCGUAGAUAUUAGGAGGAACACCAGUGGCGAAGGCGGCUUACUGGACUGUAACUGACGUUGAGGCACGAAAGCGUGGGGAGCAAACAGGAUUAGAUACCCGUGUAGUC